rnacentral:rRNA from 1 species
GUCCACGCUGUAAACUAUGGAUGCUAGCAGUAAGCCGUAUCGACCCGGUUUGUUGCGAAGCUAACGCGUUAAGCAUCCCGCCUGGGUAGUACGGUCGCAAGACUAAAACUCAAAGGAAUUGACGGGGACCCGCACAAGCGGUGGAGCGUGUUGUUUAAUACGAUGGUAAGCGUAUAACCUUACCAGGGUUUGACAUCCUUGGAAUUACUGUGAAAGCAGUGAGUGCCCUCGGGAGCCAAGUGACAGGUGUUGCAUGGCCGUCUU